UAGCUUAACCUUCGGGAGGGCGCUUACCACUUUGUGAUUCAUGACUGGGGUGAAGUCGUAACAAGGUAACCGUAGGGGAACCUGCGGUUGGAUCACCUCCUUACCUUAAAGAA
rnacentral:rRNA from 5 species